AAGAAUGGACCUCCAGAAUGAAUUAAGUUCUUAACCUGAGGUACCACUGUACUGGUUUUCUCUACUGAAUACAGUGGUACCUCGGGUUAAGUACUUAAUUCGUUCCGAAG